GACGAACGCUGGCGGCGUGCCUAAUACAUGCAAGUCGAGCGGAAGUUGAAGAGCUUGCUCUUCAACUUUAGCGGCGGACGGGUGAGUAACACGUGGGCAACCUGCCCUGCAGAUCGGGAUAACUCCGGGAAACCGGUGCUAAUACCGAAUAGUUUUCGCCACCUCCUGGUGGCGUACGGAAAGACGGUUUCGGCUGUCACUGCAGGAUGGGCCCGCGGCGCAUUAGCUAGUUGGUGGGGUAACGGCCCACCAAGGCAACGAUGCGUAGCCGACCUGAGAGGGUGUUCGGCCACACUGGGACUGAGACACGGCCAGGACUCCUCCGGGAGGCAGCAGUAGGGAAUCUUCCGCAAUGGACGAAAGUCUGACGGAGCAACGCCGCGUGAGUUACGAAGUUUUUGGGAUCGUAAAACUCUGUUGUGAGGGAAGAACAAGUACCACUUAACGACUGGUACCUUGACGGUACCUCACCAGAAAGCCACGGCUAACUACGUGCCAGCAGCCGCCGUAAAAC
rnacentral:rRNA from 1 species